CCAUGUUUCCCCUUUGGCAACCAUAAGUUUGUUUUCUAAGUCUGCGAGUCUGUUUCUCUUUUGUAAAGUUCAUUUGUAUCAUUUUUUUUUUAGAUUCCACAUAUAAGUGAUAUCAUAUGAUGUUUGUCUUUCUCUAACUUACUUCACUUAGUAUGAUAAUUUCUCAGUCCAUCCAUGUUGUUGCAAAUGGCAUUAUAUCAUUUUAUGGCUAAUAUUCCCUUGUACCACAUCUUCUGUAUCCAUUCCUCCAUCAAUGGACACUUACAUCGCUUCCACGUCUUGGCUAUUGUAAAUAGUGCUGCAAGGAACACUGGGGUGCAUGUAUAUUUUCGAAUUAUGGUUUUCAUUGGAUAUAUGCCCAGGGGUGGGAUUGCUUGGUCAUAUGGUAGUUCUAUAUUUAGUUUUUUGAGGAACAUCCAUACUGUUCUCCAUAGUUGUUCUUACAAUUUACAUUUCCACCAACAGUGUAGGAGGGUUCCCUUUUCUCCACACCCUUAAGAGAUAUUUGAUUAUCUGCAAUGUGGCUUUUCUCAAGGGCUUUUCAAGGAUAAUUUUUAUUUAUUCAUUUUUAAAGAAAUAAUAGUUGUACUGUUUUCAUAAAAAUGAUUUUGUUGAUUUAAAGAGAGCAAAGUUUCAGAUAUAACACAACUUUCUUAAAUGGAAAUAGGAGAGAUAUAAGUUGCUCUGCGAGGGAGAGAGCACAACCACUCUCCCUGUUCGAAGAGAAACUUAACCUGUCUGUCAUCUCCCACAAGUGUGUCUUGCUGACAGAGAGAGAACUCUUAAGGAUUUUUAAGAAGUCUUUUUGCCAUUGCUCAGAGGUUUUUACUCCCUCUUGAUCACUAUUAAGUGUUCUGGAGACCUUGGUUAUGUUUCUAAUGUUCACCAGAUGCAAGCUGACUCAUGACCAUCCUGACACAUUCUUAAAUGCUUAUUGUAAGGAUGGAUAUAUUGGAGAGCAAUCGCCUAGGGCUGUUUUUCCAGGUGUCCUACUCCCCCUAGCAGAUCCUGGCCUCUUGAAACUAUUCUAGUACACAUAUGAAAUUCGGGGGAAAAAACUGUAACUGCAAUGUAUACAUCUAAGGAUGACCUGACCCCCUUGCUGUACAGUGG
rnacentral:lncRNA from 1 species